AAAUUGAAGAGUUUGAUCAUGGCUCAGAUUGAACGCUGGCGGCAGGCCUAACACAUGCAAGUCGAGCGGUAGCACAGAAGAGCUUGCUCUUUGGGUGACGAGCGGCGGACGGGUGAGUAAUGUCUGGGAAACUGCCUGAUGGAGGGGGAUAACUACUGGAAACGGUAGCUAAUACCGCAUAACCUCGCAAGAGCAAAGAGGGGGACCUUCGGGCCUCUCGCCAUCAGAUGUGCCCAGAUGGGAUUAGCUAGUAGGUGAGGUAAUGGCUCACCUAGGCGACGAUCCCUAGCUGGUCUGAGAGGAUGACCAGCCACACUGGAACUGAGACACGGUCCAGACUCCUACGGGAGGCAGCAGUGGGGAAUAUUGCACAAUGGGCGCAAGCCUGAUGCAGCCAUGCCGCGUGUGUGAAGAAGGCCUUCGGGUUGUAAAGCACUUUCAGCGGGGAGGAAGGCAGUAAGGUUAAUAACCUUAUUGAUUGACGUUACCCGCAGAAGAAGCACCGGCUAACUCCGUGCCAGCAGCCGCGGUAAUACGGAGGGUGCAAGCGUUAAUCGGAAUGACUGGGCGUAAAGCGCACGCAGGCGGUCUGUUAAGUUGGAUGUGAAAUCCCCGGGCUUAACCUGGGAACUGCAUUCAAAACUGACAGGCUAGAGUCUUGUAGAGGGGGGUAGAAUUCCAGGUGUAGCGGUGAAAUGCGUAGAGAUCUGGAGGAAUACCGGUGGCGAAGGCGGCCCCCUGGACAAAGACUGACGCUCAGGUGCGAAAGCGUGGGGAGCAAACAGGAUUAGAUACCCUGGUAGUCCACGCUGUAAACGAUGUCGAUUUGGAGGUUGUGCCCUUGAGGCGUGGCUUCCGGAGCUAACGCGUUAAAUCGACCGCCUGGGGAGUACGGCCGCAAGGUUAAAACUCAAAUGAAUUGACGGGGGCCCGCACAAGCGGUGGAGCAUGUGGUUUAAUUCGAUGCAACGCGAAGAACCUUACCUACUCUUGACAUCCACAGAAUUCGGCAGAGAUGCCUUAGUGCCUUCGGGAACUGUGAGACAGGUGCUGCAUGGCUGUCGUCAGCUCGUGUUGUGAAAUGUUGGGUUAAGUCCCGCAACGAGCGCAACCCUUAUCCUUUGUUGCCAGCGAUUCGGUCGGGAACUCAAAGGAGACUGCCGGUGAUAAACCGGAGGAAGGUGGGGAUGACGUCAAGUCAUCAUGGCCCUUACGAGUAGGGCUACACACGUGCUACAAUGGCGUAUACAAAGAGAAGCGACCUCGCGAGAGCAAGCGGACCUCAUAAAGUACGUCGUAGUCCGGAUUGGAGUCUGCAACUCGACUCCAUGAAGUCGGAAUCGCUAGUAAUCGUAGAUCAGAAUGCUACGGUGAAUACGUUCCCGGGCCUUGUACACACCGCCCGUCACACCAUGGGAGUGGGUUGCAAAAGAAGUAGGUAGCUUAACCUUCGGGAGGGCGCUUACCACUUUGUGAUUCAUGACUGGGGUGAAGUCGUAACAAGGUAACCGUAGGGGAACCUGCGGUUGGAUCACCUCCUUACCAAGAAG
rnacentral:rRNA from 1 species